rnacentral:lncRNA from 1 species
UCCAAGUCCUUCUCCAUUUUCUUCAACUAAGAUUUCAUUUUCAAAUGGUGAGAGAGUUGAGAUCCACCCACAAAUGGGGUGAAGUUUCACCGACCCUUUUGAUAUCUCAUCCUCAUGCUCAGAGUCAGAGAUCCUCAUAUUCUUUCAAAUUAGAGCCUAUUAUUGAAGAGGAGCCACAAGGGUCUAAAUUGUUGUACAAGAGUGUUGUUUCUUUGCCUUUGCUACUCUCUGGGUUGUUAUUCAUUUUCUUUUAUAGAGAAUCAUUUUCUUUUGGUGUUUAGAAAAACUUGAAGAAUUUUUCUCGUAUUAUAUAUGUAAUGAUAAAAAAUAAAGAUCAUCAAAUUUAUU